rnacentral:lncRNA from 1 species
ACUGUUCCAAAGGAUAAGGUGAAAGCGUAUUUUUCCAGAUUACAUUUUCACUUUUUCUGUUCAGACCCCUGGUUGAAAAGAUUUUCAUUACAGAUGGGUCCCUGGCAGAAAAACAUCCAUAUCUUUUUAUCCGUAAAUCCGUUUAAGGUGAAACCAACGCUCACUUCUUCGUCUCGUCGAGCCCGUUUUGUUGGUUUCAUUUUCACUAUGGUUUGACACUAUGAAAAUGACCUUUUUGCCCUUUCCCUUAUUCAGCCCUCUCCGAGAGAGAACGUUUUCCGGCGAUUCGUUCCGCGAGUUUCUCGCACUUUCUCCCGGUGAUUUCUUCCACCCCAGGCAAGCCACAAUACCCACUUGCAUGAUAGUCAUGCAGUAGCCAUGGUUUUUAACUUGAAUAUUUAUUAAAUGUUUGCUUGUUUAAAAUAUGGUUAUCGUUGUUUCGGUAAUGCUUCUGGACUAGUGCUUACUUUCUUGCUAUGUUGUUAUGCACCUGGUUGUCAUGCCCGGCUAGUUGCUAGUAUUCCUUUCAUAUUGCCAUGCUUGAUAGUAGUAUAUGCUGAUGAUGGUGAUGGUCUUCGGUGCAUGACUGUCGUUUGUCCCGAGUACCGUUGUUAUGCAUGUCCCUUUACAUCCAGUUGGUUAAAUGCUUGCAUGAUGGCAUCGUUGAUAUGUUCUUGCAUGACAUUUAUUGUUGAUGCUAGUGGUCAUGCUAUGUUUCGGAGAAGUAUGUACUGGUGAUGUUCAUGCUAGUCAGUACGCCAUGCCCAAUGGAUAUGAUUCAUUGUUGAUAUGGUGGAUAGUUAUGAGAUACCCUCAUGAUUGUGUUGAUAUCAUGUUCAUGCAUUUUUAUUAUGACUCAGCAUAUUUGCAUUCAAGUUAACCGGAUUAAAUUGAACUUGAACAACUGUUGGCUGAGUCAUGGUGCCGCUGAAUCGAUGCUGACCAGUGCAACCACGCUUACCGGUAUGGGACGGUCCUAACUGGGUCUAUUGUUGUGCCUCUCGCCGGUGCCUCCAACGAGGGAAGGUUAUGGGCGCGCGCUACCCUGAUCAGGUAGGCGGACAUAACCUUGUGUGCCCGUUGUUGAGUUUGAGUUUUUGGAUCCGUGUCCCCGUGUGGGACGGGCCACGACGGUGGUCGUUGUGUCUUUGGUAGACACGGGGCCACCCAUGAAUUAGCCCAGAGGGGAGUGAGUCGGAGUGGCCGGGGGAGUGUCAUGACAGUAGAUCGGUUUUGUCGGAACGCCGUUGGUCCACCCAAAUGGGAGUGCGAGGCCAUGGGUUCUGUAGUGUGGGUACAGUGUACUAACCUCUGCAGAGUAUAUAUUAAAUCUAUCGAUAGCCGCGCCCGCGGAUAAGGGCCCAGGUCGAAAGUAGGGUACACCAUGAGUCAACAGUAAUAAGAAUAACUUGAUUAAUGUCAACCCGUGGUUGUGGUCGCCGUAAGGAUCGCGAUGGUAUCGAGGAUACCGAGUUGUUGGAUAUUCGUGAUGUUGUGCGAGAGUCGUGGGUAAAGAUCAAGCUCCUUGUGGUCAUUUACUGAUCGCUACGGUAUUGUUUAUACCAAGCUUGAUUUGAUCCUGAGAUGAUCGUGUGAUGUCCGAGGUUGGUAAGUGAUGCAUGUGUUGGUUACGAGGUAACCCGAGCAGAAUAAGUAGUGCAUGAUAGUGUCAUCAUGUUGCAUGCUAGUAUUGUCGGAUUAAUAUGUUCAUGUUGUGUUAGCUGUAUCAUGUUUAUGUCGGUCAUGCCAUGUUAUUCUGAUGAUCUCAUGAUAAUUCCUGUUUAACUUGUAAUUGCCAUGCUGUUGUCUGUCUUGAAUGCUUCUGGUUAUUGUGAGCUUGCAAGUACAUUCAAUGUACUGACCUGGCGUGUCAUGCCAGUUUGCAGGUCAUGCCGGAUUUGAUUGCUUGCUUGUCGUUGUUCCCGUUCGUGCGAGCUAGGAUAAUCGUUCCAGCCAGAGUCCCUGCGGAGUGGAGUUCACCACCGUCGUCGUUGUUCCGCUGCUAGAGUUAUUCCGCUGCUUUAAGUUGUUCUGCUGCUUGCAUAGAGCAACUGAGGAUGGCGUAGUAUCGCCGUGCCGAUGUUAUUCAUUGUAAUAUCGGAGACCUUGUAUUCAUUUUCGUGUAAUAAUAGAGAGCUGGUUUGUUCUAUGCUAAGCAGUGACGUAUUCCAGAAGACUUCUCCUCGAUCUCUGGGCUGGAAUACGGGGCGUUCUGGUUUUCUCUGAGCCGGGGUGCCACAGCGCUUGGUAUCAGAGCAGGUCUAGCUAUAGGACGCCCUAGACCGCGCGAAUGUUAGAAAGCGGUAGUAUAGACCCAAGUUUGUUUGUUGCACUUGAUUGCUGCAUUUGUUUGCUGCAUAGCAUGCAUAUAGCCUUAGUAUUUGUACUAACGGUUUAUCUGGUGAGUGUAGCUGGCAUCGGUUCGGAUCCACUACAGCUCAACCUUUGCAUUUCUCCAGUUCCUUUUUCUUUUGGUGUUUGGUGUUAUUUCUGUCCCAGCAGAGUGAUGCCAAGUGAUCCCGACACUGUUUGCAAAAAUGGUGCUCAGUUAUCGCACCGAUGUCUUUCCUUCAGUCCCGUCUAUCAUUUUGGUGAUGAACAUGCAUCUAUCCCAGAUCGUUCUUCUAUUUUGUCGUGUUGGCAACCCUUAAUGAUCUUAGUUAUCAAGAAAGGGCAAUGUCAGCAGCCUCAGUUUUUGCCCGCUAUCCUAUUUCUUGGACGAGUACGGAUCUUUUUCCGUCUGCUUGAUAAUAAUGUGGUUGCGACCUUCGUGUCCCACUGCAUGAUUACCGAGUACGUCCUCGCCUCCGAGCUAGUUCAGGUUGCCCCUGGCUAAGCCAACACUUGGUGUAGCGCUGCUUACACCAAAUCUUCCACACAUUUAUUCGUCCUCGUGCACAUCGUCACAGCAUAUUAGAUCGUAGUACCGGAGAUUCCGCGAAAUUUGUGUGCUUAAGUAGGCAUGCAUAUUGUGUGACUAGCAGUAAUAUGUGAUGCUUGCUCGAUUAAUUAUACUAGUAGAAUGCUUGUGUGCUUUUGUUUUAGUCAUUUCUGUUGUUCCUUUCUUUGGGCCUUCGGUGUUACAAUUUUUUCCCCUAUUAAAGUUGCUCGUCAGCCGACACUGGACCCGAAGAGUCAGUAAGAAAUGCAUAUAUUUGGAAAGUCAGCUAAACAGAAUGGAAUUAUCAGCUGACUGCAGUGAAAUUGGGAAUAGCUUGUCUGGAUGCAAAAGAAAUCCUGGAUGGGCCGUCAGUAUCAAGUUUGCAUUAGCUUGCACUCAUCACAACAAAAUGAUUAAAUCAGCAAGAAGAUAAAUUGUGUGCAAGGUUGACAGAAUAUUAUCAAAGGUAUGGCUCAGAUACACGUUUAAUUUUCGUUGAGGAUGAUUUUGGAACUCGAUGUACCUGGAAGCAAACAAAAAUAUGGCAUAUACUCAAAAAGAAGGAUAGUCCAGUAAAACCCUGUUUCAUACAAGAAAUCAACAUCAGAAAUAUUAAGAUGGUAUGUAUAUGUGGUACUCGGUCCGCAUAUCACAAUAAGAAGUUUCUGGUGUAAGCAACCCACUUUUCCCUCGCAAGAUACCGGAGAAGCUUCCAAGGCAAGAUUCAUCUAUCUUCCUCAGUACGAUACAUGGAUGACUUCUCGCGCAAGGUACUCUGCCUUCUUCGGUAAGCAACCGCAAAAGCUUCCAGCAUAAGGUACUGAGUCUUUCCCCAGCGAAGUCUUUAAGGGGGUAAGCUUUUGAAGCACGAUACCCAGUCUUCUUCAGCAAGCUGUCCGAUGAAAGUUUCGAGCUCAAGCCAGCAAAUAUUCCUCAGUAAGACAUUGGUACAAGGUAGUACGCUGUGAAUUGACAGCAUAUGGCAGUGAAUCCUAAGAAUCAGAUCCGCAUCAUUUUGGUCAGAAUCAAGAAUCAGUCAGAAUACACGUCUGUCUCGGAAUCAGAUUCUCAUAUAUAUGCGGUGAGCAUACCACCGAGAUCUUACAAGUCACUCGGAGGAGGAUCUGAUAACCACGUGACGAUGAUUAAGAGAAGAAAGCCAGUAUACACCACAGUGUGACAAAGGAUUAUAAGGAUUGACGACAUCAAUGAGCUCAAUACAAGUAUCCGUGAACCUGGAAAAUGAUCCUGAUGAGCCUUUGUCCCCUUUUUCUCCAACGACGGCACCACGCCUGUGAUCUGAGCUGUUUCUACCUAUCCGGGGCGGAUGCGGAUUUUUUUAUUUCUCUCUUUCACGACUGUCACGAGUUCUGAGCUGCUUUUCGACCGUUUCGUACAGCUGUGAGUUUCUUUUUGUGACAGUGGCCCUAUAGCUGCUUUUUGGCUAUUCUAGGGAGCUGCCACCUUCUUCUUAUCGACCCGGUCUCAUGCUCUGAGCUGUUUUUUCGGCUGUCCUGAGCCGUGGUUGAGUUAUGUCAGUAAUGUCCCAGAUCUGAGUGGUAAAGACAGUUCUGGUGGCUACUGAUUUAUUUGCCGAUUUCUUGCAAGGGUUUCGGAUGAUCAUUUCCCAACGAUCAGAACUUGAGAGGUGUUGAACCUGCCAUUUAAUGGGUUACCCUGUCAGAAAAAUGAGGAUAAGCUAUGAUUGCCGAAAAAUUGCACCGACAGUACCUAUGGUCAUACAAAGAAACAAUAUGGCCCAGCUCUUUCAUCCAAAGAUCCAGACCAAGAAAACAAAAAUGAAGGAGCAAGACCAGCGAUGCAGGUAUGAAAAUUGUACACGACCCCCAUGGUGCAGAUCCCCUGGACAGUCUAAGUCAGUGUUGAUCCACAUGGAUAUGCCUACAGCAUGAGUAAUCGGCAUGAGGAAUCACAGUCUGGAAGCCUGAGUCCUCACCUAUAUGAAUGAUCAUGGAUAGCCCGUCGUGAACAAAAAAAUUUCCAUCAGAAACACCGUCAGUCAAGUCUGCAGAUAUUAUCAUAUAGGCCAAACCCUUUAUGCUGGCCGCGACAGGAGACAAUCAAAUAUUUGGUACGGAUCCGAUACUCACGACAAUGGAACCAGUUCAGAAACUUCUGCGAUGAGUCAGAAUCUGUCAGGAAACGGUUAUAUUUUAACUCACUGUUUGGAACCCAAAGGACCUGCAUUUAGUGGAGAAACCCAAUGCAAUGAGUCAGAGCUUGAGUUUUCAUCAUAAAAUUCUGAUCAUCAUUACAUGAAAGGUUGUCAGUGCCGGGUGACACACCCAGCGGAAAUCACUUUUGGAUUUGUGAGACGGACAUAUAUUUCAGUUGUGAAAAUUAAUCACAGUCAGCUAGUCAGCAGAUCUAAAAAGAAAUUGGAGCCUAUAUAAGCAUGAGCAAGCCAGGUAAGAUCUGUCAGAAUGUGGAUACAGUAAAGCAAACCACCCAGGGCCAGUAAGAUAAAAAAAUUAGUGGGAACAAAAAUAAGAAAAAAGAUACCCGAGUUGGAAACGGUUUCCUUAAGUCAGAAUAUUCAUACUUGUUCCCUGAGCAACCAAAUCUCGAGGACGAGAUUUCUUUAAGGGGGUAAGGUUUGUGACAGCCUGAUUUUUGGCCCUUUCUUUUUCUUUUGUUUUUCUGAGGUUUUUGCCUGAGUUUUCUUUUUCCGUGGCUUUGUGGUCUGGAAACUGAAGAAGAUGCCCUCUUCUUUGCUUCCAGAGUGGCUUGUCAUUCCCAAAUCUUUCCCUGGACCCUGUCAUUUCCAUCCUAGCCCAAGUCCCAAUAAUCUUUUUAUUGGGAAUAUUCCUUUUCUAUUGAAGGAAUAACUCCAAUUGCCCUAGGUUGUGAAGCAACCUAUAUUUCCCUCACUCCUAAAAUUCCCAAAUAAUUCUUAUAAAUCGUUUGGGUCAUAUCUUGAUCAAAUAUGGCAAAACUUUUCAUUGCCAUGUUCAAAAAUAAUCCUCCAAUAAUCCAUUUACUAUUCUGCCCCAAAUGGCACAUUGUGAAGCAAGUGCCAUUUUCCUUUGCCCAAUUGACCUCAAACUCCUUGGACAUCUUUUCAUGUCCAUAUCAUUGCCCCAUGCCAAAAUUCAACCUCAUUUGCCUAGUAAUUAUUGAAUUAUGAUUUUCCAAAGUUUCUGUCCAGAAAGAAGCUUUGUGAAGGAGGUACAAGCUAGGCAUAUCAAAAUGAGUUGAAAUUUUGCAUGAUCCUCCAUAUAAUCAUAUAAUAGCCUUAAAACAAAGUAGAGCUCAUAUCAUGCCUCCAUGUGAGCUCAUCUUCAAAUCUUUGUUUCUGCCCAAAAGUUCAGUUUGUGAAGCAAGUAUAUUUUAUCUUGCUCCAUUAUGGCUGCCAAAUUUUAUAGGCCUUAUAUUGUCCAUAUAACCUCCCUCGACCAAUUUGUGGCUCAAUACCUUUGACAAUUUGCCCUGUGGAAUACUUCCAAUUUCUGGUCAGAAUAAAUCUUUCUGAAGCAAGUGCUAUUUUGGUUCAUCCAAAUGGCAUGAAACUCCUUGGGCAUCUGUAUAUCUUCAAAUCAUUGGGCCAUAACCAAUUUGAGCUCAAGUUGAUGCUUCAUCAGAGUGCAUCAUCCUAAUCUAGUUUCUGGACCAGUUUAUGUGGUUGUUAAGCAACUACAUUAAAUCUUGAUCCUAAUCCACUCCAAGCUAUCAGGGUGAAAGUACUUCUUUACCUCAACCUCGCAGACAACUCCAUUGGAUCCAAAACCCUUCCUGUUGAUCACUAGUGCUCACCCAAGUUUACAGCAGUAAACUUCAGAGGGUUCUUACCGUUUAACCAGAUCACUUUUAACCGAGCUACCACCGUAGUUGAGACCUACCCUUGAGAAACUUACCACUAGACAACGUUUUCCAGCUGUUUGCCUCCCCCUCAUGCCAGCACUGGUGGUGACCACCGUUUUGGCAUGCCAUGAGCGCGCCCAGAAUGGCCUCUUGCUCGGGCCCCUCCUUCUCUCGUCGUCUUCGCGCUCGUGAGCGUGUCUACCAUUUGGCCUGCGUCGUCGCCGUCCUGCUGGACCUCUCUCCCCCUCCGUCCGCUUCCUCGUCAGCGCUCGUCGCCGCGCGCCCACGGGUGAGCAGUGCCGACCGAGCUUUAAUGGCGCCGUGGCCGUUUCCCCUCUGCGCCCUCGGCCCCUCCUGCCCUGUGCAUAGUUGUAGCUCGUCCGCACCCCCCUCUCGUCGCGAUCCCGCGCCCUCCCGUGAUCGCUGGCCGUCGCCAGAGCCUCGGCCGGACGUGCCCGGCGGCACCCGAGCCCAUCCCUCUCGCCCGGCUAUAUAUAGCCAUCCCCCGAGCCCUCCGAGCUCACCUCUCGCCUCCCAUCACUCCCAGGACCCCGCCCCACUUCUUCCCCGAGCCGGAGCUGCUCUCCUCGCCUCCCUAUGCAACCAUGGCCGCCGCCUCGGCUCGGCUAAAUUAGCCCGACACCGAGCCUCCCCCUCCGUUCGUCCACCACCACUGGAUUCCCCACUCGCCAGUGAUCCUCCCCAGCCCCUUAUCUAGUCUCCGGAGUAGCUGUGGCUGUCGUCCCCAAGAUCAGCCGCCGCCACCGCGUCCUCUGUUGCCCCAAGCCGCGGCUGCCCUAGUCAUCCCCGGCGCUCCCUUCACUGCGGGAUGGACGCGGCGCCUCCUCCCGAGCCCACCGGUGGCUGCGUCCUCGCCGGAGCCGGCCGGAGCCGGCCGGCCCGUCGCCGGUGACGCGCCCUCCCCUGCCUCCUCUGUCCCGUGCGGGAGCAGGACGAGGAAGAAGAAGACAGAGGCCAGGCGGGCCCUCUUCUCCUCGCGGGCCCCGCGUGGCAGCCUCAGCCCGUUGACCUGGUCUGACCACGUGGAUAAGUGACGGGCCCCACCCCGUGGGACCCGCACACGUCAGCCCCGCCACUGUUCCAAAGGAUAAGGUGAAAGCGUAUUUUUCCAGAUUACCUUUUCACUUUUUCUGUUCAGGCCCCUGGUUGAAAAGAUUUUCAUUACAGAUGGGUCCCUGGCAGAAAAACAUCCAUAUCUUUUUAUCCGUAACUCCGUUUAAGGUGAAAACAACGCUCACUUCUUCGUCUCAUCGAGCCCGUUCUGUUGGUUUCAUUUUCACUAUGGUUUGACACAGUGAAAAUGACCUUUUUGCCCUUGCCCUUAUUCAGCCCUCUCCGAGAGAGAAAGUUUUUCGGCGAUUCGUUCCGCGAGUUUCUCGCACUUUCUCCCGGUGAUUUCUUCCACCCCAGGCAAGCCACAAUACCCACUUGCAUGAUAGUCAUGCAGUAGCCAUGGUUUUCAACUUGAAUAUUUAUUAAAUGUUUGCUUGUUUAAAAUAUGGUUAUCGUUGUUUCGGUAAUGCUUCUGGACUAGUGCUUACUUUCUUGCUAUGUUGUUAUGCACCUGGUUGUCAUGCCCGGCUAGUUGCUAGUAUUCCUUUCAUAUUGCCAUGCUUGAUAGUAGUAUAUGCUGAUGAUGGUGAUGGUCUUCGGUGCAUGACUGUCGUCUGUCCCGAGUACCGUCGUUAUGCAUGUCCCUUUACAUCCAGUUGGUUAAAUGCUUGCAUGAUGGCAUCGUUGAUAUGUUCUUGCAUGACAUUUAUUGUUGAUGCUAGUGGUCAUGCUAUGUUUCGGAGAAGUAUGUACUGGUGAUGUUCAUGCUAGUCAGUACGCCAUGCCCAAUGGAUAUGAUUCAUUGUUGAUAUGGUGGACAGUUAUGAGAUACCCUCAUGAUUGUGUUGAUAUCAUGUUCAUGCAUUUUUAUCAUGACUCAGCAUAUUUGCAUUCAAUUUAACCGGAUUAAAUUGAACUUGAACAACUGUUGGCUGAGUCAUUGUGCCGCUGAAUCGAUGCUGACCAGUGCAACCACGCUUACUGGUAUGGGACGGUCCUAACUGGGUCUAUUGUUGUGCCUCUCGCCGGUGCCUCCAACGAGGGAAGGUUAUGGGCGCGCGCUACCCUGAUCAGGUAGGCGGACAUAACCUUGUGUGCCCGUUGUUGAGUUUGAGUUUUUGGAUCCGUGUCCCCGUGUGGGACGGGCCACGACGGUGGUCGUUGUGUCUUUGGUAGACACGGGGCCACCCAUGACUUAGCCCAGAGGGGAGUGAGUCGGAGUGGCUGGGAGAGUGUCAUGACAGUAGAUCGGUUUUGUCGGAACGCCGUUGGUCCGCCCGAAUGGGAGUGCGAGGCCAUGGGUUCCGUAGUGUGGGUACAGUAUACUAACCUCUGCAGAGUGUAUAUUAAAUCUAUCGAUAGCCGCGCCCGCGGAUAAGGGCCCAGGUCGAAAGUAGGGUACACCAUGAGUCAACAGUAAUAAGAAUAACUUGAUUAAUGACAACCCGUGGUUGUGGUCGGCGUAAGGAUCGCGAUGGUAUCGAGGAUACCGAGUUGUUGGAUAUUCGUGAUGUUGUGCGAGAGUCGUGGGUAAAGAUCAAGCUCCUUGUGGUCAUUUACUGAUCGCUACGGUAUUGUUUAUACCAAGCUUGAUUUGAUCCUGAGAUGAUCGUGUGAUGUCCGAGGUUGGUAAGUGAUGCAUGUGUUGGUUACGAGGUAACCCGAGCAGAAUAAGUAGUGCAUGAUAGUGUCAUCAUGUUGCAUGCUAGUAUUGUCGGAUUAAUAUGUUCAUGUUGUGUUAGCUGUAUCAUGUUUAUGUCGGUGAUGCCAUGUUAUUCUGAUGAUCUCAUGAUAAUUCCUGUUUAACUUGUAAUUGCCAUGCUGUUGUCUGUCUUGAAUGCUUCUGGUUAUUGUGAGCUUGCAAGUACAUUCAAUGUACUGACCUGACAUGUCAUGCCAGUUUGCAGGUCAUGCCGGAUUUGAUUGCUUGCUUGUCGUGGUUCCCGUUCGUGCGAGCUAGGAUAAUCGUUCCAGCCAGAGUCCCUGCGGAGUGGAGUUCACCACCGUCGCCGUUGUUCCGCUGCUAGAGUUAUUCGCUGCUUCGAGUUGUUCUGCUGCUUGCAUACAGCAACUGAGGAUGGCAUAGUGUCGCCGUGCCGAUGUUAUUCAUUGUAAUAUCGGAGACCUUGUAUUCAUUUUCGUGUAAUAAUAGGGAGCUGGUUUGUUCUAUGCUAAGCAGUGCCGUAUUCCAGAAGACUUCUCCUUGAUUUCUGGGCUGGAAUACGGGGCGUUCCGGUUUUCUCUGAGCCGGGGUGCCACAUAAACCCUAGAAGCUAGCCUAUGAUUCUGAUUGUUGUUGGUCCUACGGACUAAACCCUCCGGUUUAUAUAGACACCGGAGGGGGCUAGGGUUACACAGAGUCGGUUACAGAGAAGGAGAUCAACAUAUCCUAAUUGCCAAGCUUGCCUUCCACGCCAAGGAGAGUCCCCUCCAGACACGGGACGAAGUCUUCAAUCUUGUAUCUUCGUAGUCCAACAGUCCGGCCAAAGUAUA